rnacentral:lncRNA from 1 species
UGACUCUUAUUUUAGAUCAAAGUAUUUAGAGAAAAGACUUCAUCAUCAUCCUCAUCAUCCUCAUCAUCAUCAUCAUCAUCAUCCUCAUCAUCCUCAUCAUCCUCCUCAUCCUCAUCAUCAUCCUCAUCAUCCUCAUCAUCCUCAUCCUCAUCAUCCUCAUCAUCCUCCUCAUCAUCCUCAUCAUCAUCAUCAUCCUCAUCAUCAUCAUCCUCAUCAUCCUCCUCAUCAAUCCUCAUCAUCCUCAUCAUCAUCAUCCUCAUCAUCAUCAUCCUCAUCAUCAUCAUCAUCCUCAUCAUCAUCCUCAUCAUCCUCAUCAUCAUCAUCAUCAUCAUCAUCCUCAUCAUCAUCAUCAUCAUCAUCAUCAUCAUCCUCAUCAUCCUCAUCAUCCUCAUCCUCAUCCUCAUCAUCCUCAUCAUCAUCCUCAUCAUCAUCCUCAUCAUCAUCAUCCUCAUCAUCAUCAUCAUCAUCAUCCUCAUCCUCAUCAUCCUCAUCAUCCUCCUCAUCAUCCUCAUCAUCCUCAUCAUCAUCAUCCUCAUCAUCAUCAUCCAUCAUCAUCAUCCAUCAUCAUCCAUCAUCCAUCCUCAUCAUCAUCAUCAUCAUCAUCAUCAUCAUCAUCCUCAUCAUCUCAUCAUCAUCAUCAUCAUCAUCCUCAUCAUCAUCAUCAUCCUCAUCAUCAUCCCUCAUCAUCCUCAUCAUCAUCCUCAUCCUCAUCAUCAUCAUCAUCCUCAUCAUCCUCAUCCUCAUCAUCAUCAUCCUCAUCAUCAUCCUCAUCAUCAUCCUCAUCAUCCUCAUCCUCAUCCUCAUCCUCAUCAUCCUCAUCAUCCUCAUCAUCCUCAUCCUCAUCCUCAUCCUCAUCCUCAUCCUCAUCCUCAUCAUCCUCAUCAUCCUCAUCAUCCUCAUCCUCAUCAUCAUCCUCAUCCUCCUCAUCAUCAUCAUCUUCCUCAUCAUCAUCAUCCUCAUCAUCCUCAUCCUCAUCAUCAUCAUUUAAAGGUUGUUUUGGGGACUUCUCUCCAAACCUCAGGGAGGAGGGGGUUAAAGCCCUUCAGUCGUGUUAUUGGUUCCAGCACUGUGUUUCCUGUGG